AGCGAACGCUGGCGGCGUGCCUAACACAUGCAAGUCGAGCGAGAAAGGGGGCUUCGGCCCCUCAGUACAGCGGCGAACGGGUGCGUAACACGUGGGUGAUCUGUCCUCGAGACGGGGAUAACCCAGCGAAAGUUGGGCUAAUACCGGAUAAGACCACAAGAGGAAACUCUCGGGGUCAAAGGGUGCUUCCUUUUGGGAGCAUUCGCUGGAGGAGGAGCCCGCGUCCUAUCAGCUUGUUGGAGGGUAACGGCCUACCAAGGCAAAGACGGGUAGCUGGUCUGAGAGGAUGACCAGCCACACGGGGGACUGAGACACGGCCCAGACUCCUACGGGAGGCAGCAGUGGGGGAAUUAUUGGACAAUGGGCGCAGGCCUGAUCCAGCCAUGCCGCGUGGAUGAUGAAGGCCCUAGGGUGU
rnacentral:rRNA from 1 species